rnacentral:misc_RNA from 1 species
GUCCAAGCAGCUGCAGUGCCUGUAACCCAAGAAGCUCCAACACAAUCCAGCUCCAAUUCCCACCAGACCUCUGGUGAACCAUCCAAGCCAAGGCGGGUUAUGGUCAUUGGUGGAGAUGGCUACUGUGGUUGGGCCACUGCCCUCCACCUAUCCAACAAAGGUUAUGAGGUUGCUAUAGUUGACAGCCUCAUCCGUCGUCUUUUUGACCACCAACUUGGUCUAGACUCUCUGACCCCUAUCUCUUCCAUCCACAACCGGCUACGUUGUUGGAAAUCACUCACUGGAAAAACUAUUGAACUCCAUAUUGGUGAUAUUUGUGACUUUGAAUUCUUAUCAGAAACAUUCAAGUCAUUUGAGCCUGAUGCUGUUGUCCAUUUUGGGGAACAGCGCUCAGCCCCUUAUUCAAUGAUUGAUAGGUCUAGAGCUGUUUUUACUCAGCACAACAAUGUGAUUGGAACACUUAAUGUUCUCUUUGCUAUAAAGGAAUUUGUAGAGCAGUGCCAUCUGGUGAAGCUUGGGACAAUGGGAGAGUAUGGAACACCAAACAUUGAUAUUGAGGAGGGUUAUAUAACAAUUACCCAUAAUGGAAGAACAGACACUUUGCCUUACCCUAAGCAAGCCAGCUCUUUCUACCAUCUUAGCAAGGUGCAUGACUCAAAUAAUAUAGCCUUCACUUGCAAGGCUUGGGGAAUUAGAGCUACCGAUCUAAACCAAGGAGUGGUUUAUGGAGUGAGGACUGAUGAGACAGAGAUGCAUGAAGAACUUUGCAACAGGUUUGAUUAUGAUGGAGUAUUUGGAACUGCAUUGAAUCGGUUUUGUGUCCAGGCUGCUGUUGGACAUCCACUUACUGUAUAUGGGAAAGGGGGCCAGACCAGGGGCUACCUUGACAUAAGGGAUACAGUUCAGUGUGUGGAACUUGCCAUUGCAAACCCUGCAAGACCUGGAGAGUUUCGGGUCUUCAAUCAAUUUACUGAGCAGUUUUCUGUCAAUGAACUUGCUUCCCUUGUAACAAAAGCGGGAGAGAAGCUUGGUCUGGAUGUGAAAACAAUAUCUGUGCCCAAUCCACGAGUGGAGGCAGAAGAACAUUACUACAAUGCCAAGCACACUAAGCUUAUUGAGUUGGGACUCAAACCACACCUUCUUUCAGACUCUCUUCUUGACUCAUUGCUUAACUUUGCUAUAAAGUUCAAGGAUCGUGUUGAUGCUAAACAGAUAAUGCCCGAUGUUUCAUGGAGAAAAAUUGGUGUUAAACCAAAGACUGUUGCAGCAUGAAUAAAUAAACAUAUGUUAGGGACUUACGCUACAAAAAAUCAUCAUCAAGCUUGAUCUUCUGUGGCAGAUGAUACUGCUUUUUUAACUUUCAC